AUAAAUAUUGCUUAAUGUAUAUAAUUGUCUAACAUCGUACAAUUGAUUACUUUCAAUUAUCCUAAGUAGUUAGCAUUUUACUCUUUGUGAACAUUAGUUAAUAUUUACUUGCUUUUUUUAAGUGCUUGAUUAGGUUCUCUAGAUGUUUGUCUUGCAGCCUUGGUCUUGUUAUUUAUUCUAAGCUUGAAUUUGUUUGUGUUGCUGCUUUCGUGUUGUUCUUUUCUUCUAAACUUGAAUUAGUUUGUGGUGCUACUUUGGCCUUGUUCUUUUUCUUCAAUGUUGAAUUUGUUUGUGCUGCUGCUUUGGUAUUGUUCUUUUUCUUCUAAGCUUGAAUUUGUUUUCUUGUGAUUUAAGUGACCAAAGUAAGAUUUGCCAGUGGUAUGUCAAACACUGAGCAUUGCAGAAUUAGGGCAAAGUAGAUGAACAGAACUUACCUUCCUCUCUGAGAGGGAUGCUCAAUUUUGAAAAUAAUCUAGACUUUCACUUAGACUAGUUUGGCUUGACGACAUAACUAAAUUUGGUAAAUUUUGUUAUAGAGCCCUAUGCUUUUAAGAGGAAUACUGAAUUUGCGAAUAAGCAUCUUGGCAAGUUUACCUCCAUCAAGAUUCAACCUGGAAAUUUAGGAAAAUUACAUUAUAUAUUGUUCCUAUCUAUAAUUUCAUAGUGCAAGAGCAGGAUUGGACACAGUAGUGGUUCCUCAAAAAUUUGGAAUCGGAAUCAGAAUCAGAACUAAUCCUCCAAACUGAUCUGAAUCACUUGAACUGGAUUGGAAUUGGUUAAUCUUGCAAACUAUGCUUUAUUUCUCAAAUUGAAGUUUAGACUUUUGCUUUCAGUUGACUUUUUAUACUCACUUAAGUCAUAGAUUUAUUAGGCUUACUUUAAUAUCAUUCUGGUUUUCAGUAGCACUAAAUAUCUUUUCUUAUGGUGUUCUGUCAUCAUCCGAAAGAUUUCAGUUUUGAACUCACGCUCUUCUACAGGAUGAUGGAAAUAAGCUUCACAUUUUAUACUUUAAAUUUAUUUGAAUAAGUUACUUUAUUCAAAACAGAGAGGAAUGUAGAAGAACUCAUGCAGCUGACCACUUGUUUGGAAAUAAAGCUUAGUUGAGUUGAGUCGAGUUGACUUUUAUUUUUUAUCACAUCACAACAGUUAUAAUUCAUGUGUGAUCAUGCCAGGUGUGAGACAGUACUAUAGUGACUUUAGGAUCAUGCCAGCAGUUAUAUCUAUUUGUCAUGAACAAUAUUAUAUGUCAAUAAUAUGCAUGGAUAAAUCUUGGUCAAGUUCAACUUGUUAAGAAAAAGCAAUAUCAAGUAAAUUUAUUGAAAGAUGAAAAUAUUUGAGAAUAAAUUUCUCUUUCUAAGAAGAUUUAGAUCAUACUAAAUAAAAUGCUAAAAGUAAGAUAGAUCAAUGUACAAAGGAAGAGUCAAAUUGAAUCUUUUGUGAAUCUCUUUAAAAGCUUAAUUAUAAGGUUUCCUAGAAUCAAAAUUUUGUUUCCUUUAGUUGCAAAUAUCUUCGGAAAUAUGUUGAAAUGCUAUGUUCUUGUAGCUUUAUAAAGUGAUUUAGUAGAAGUGUUUGAUGAUAUGGUUGUGAAUAUUCAAAUAAAUAUAGAAAUAUGGUGCGUAACUUGACACUUUGAGUAUAUCUUAAUUAUCAUAAAUGCUAUUAGGAAAUAUUAAUGAUUGACUAGAAUAUAUAUUGCAAGUGGGUUACAAGUGUUCAAUUUUGCAAAAAAUUAGGCUAAUGGAAAAUAGGAUGGGUGAGUAUGAUAAGAACUGGAUUGAAUAUGAUAAGCAUACACCUGAAUAUGAAAAGGGUUUGGAUGCAUUUCUAGACAUUGCAUUUUCUCGCCCUGGGGUAGUGCAUAUAAUACAUUGUCCUUGUACCAAGUGCAAGAAUGGCUACCACAAAACUAGAUGAAGUUAAGAUGGACUUAUAUUUAUGGGGGAUGGAAAAGACCUACAAAAGAUGGACGUAUCAUGGAGAAAGAUUACAUGUUGCUUCCCUUGAUUUAGCUUGAAUUAGAUGAUAAUGCCAAUUUUAAUGGAGGCAAUGAUGCUACCACUUUUGAAAUGUUAUAUGAUAUGUUUAGGGGUGAGAACCUUGGAGAAAAUAUUGAAGGUGUGUCUAGAAAUUUAGGUAGUCAAGAACCUCAAGAGCCCAAUGAAGAAGCUCGAAAAUUCUAUCAGUUAAUAAAAGAUGCAGAGCAAAAGUUGUACCCAAAUUGUCAAGGAUUCUCUAAGUUGACAUUCACAGUAAAAUUAUUCCAAAUGAAAUGCCAAUAUGGAUGGAGCAAUAGAUCUUUAGAUGCUUUACGAAGUUUACUAAAAAGUGUGCUGCCACCAGAAAAUAUAUGCCUUGCAUCAUUUUAUGAUGCCUGGAAGAUAAUUCGGGAUUUAGGGUUAGAUUACAAGAAGAUAGAUGCUUCUAGAAAUGAUUGUGUCCUUUUUUACAAUGAAUAUAUAGAUUUGAAUGAGUGCCCAAAAUGUCAAGAGUCAAGGUAGAUAAAAAAUCAAGAUUGUGGUGGUGAUGGACCUAGUCUCUAAGGUUCUAAGAAGGAGAAUAAUGUUUCAACAAAGACUUUGCGUUAUUUUCCAUUAAAAUCGAGGUUUCAGCGUCUGUUUAUGUCUAAGCAAACAGCAAUUGAUAUGAGAUGGCAUAAAGAGAAGAGGAUUGAUGAUGGCAUUUUAAGGCAUCCAACUGAUUCCAUGGCAUGGAAAUCAUUUGAUCAACAACAUCAAUCAUUUUCCCAAGACCCUAGAAAUGUUAGACUUGGACUUGCAAGUGAUGGUUUCAAUCCUUUUGGAACCAUGAACAUCUCACAUAGCACAUGGCUAGUUUUACUUAUUCCUUAGAACUUACCAGCAUGGAUGUGUUUAAAGAGUCCUUAUUGGAUAUUAUCAUUGAUUAUUCCUGGACCUAAGUCACCAGGAAACAAUAUUGAUGUGUACUUGCAGCCCUUAAUGAUGAGUUGAAAUUAUUAUGGGAAGUUGGAGUUGAAAAUUUUGAUGCUCAUAAGAAGCAAAAUUUUCAUCUUCGAGCUGCUAUUUUAUGGACUAUAAACAAUUUCUCUGCCUAUGCCAUGUUGUCCGUUUGGAGCACCAAAGGAGAGUUAGCAUUGCCCUUGCUGUAAUAAGGAAAUAGUUUCAAAGAGAUUAAAGCAUGAUCAUAAAUAUUGUUACAUGGGUCAUCGUCGCUUUCUACCCGAAGAUCAUGCUUAGAGAAAAAACAAAACUUUAUUUGAUAACCAUAAGGAGACUCGAAAUGCACCUAAAUCUCUCUCUGGAUAUGAUGUGCUAGAACAAUAUCAAACUUUUGAACAAGUCAUAUUUGGGAAGCUCACUCCAACGAAGAGAAAGAGAGAUGAAGAUAAGGUGCAUAAUUGGGAAAAGAAAAGUAUUUUUUUUAGCUUCCUUAUUAGAAAACAUUAUUGCUGUGACAUAAUUUGGAUGUGAUGCAUGUGGAAAAAAAUGUGUGAUAGUAUUUUGGGUACAAUACUAAGUCUUGAUAGGAAAAACAAAGAUAGCUUGAAUACUCGUCUUGAUCUUAAAGAGAUGGGUAUCAAAAAGGGACUGCAUCCACAUAAAAUAAUAGAGGACAAGUUUGAACUACCUACUGCAAAAUAUACUAUGUCACCAAAUGAAAGGAGAACUUUUUGUCAAUUUUUGAAGGAUGUGAAGACGCCAGAUUCUUAUGCAUCUAAUAUUGCUCAAUGUGUUCAAAUCAAAGAAGACAAGAUAUAUGGACUAAAAAAUCAUGAUUGUCAUGCUCUAUUGGAACGCUUGCUGCCACUUGAGAUUCGAGGCCUCCUUUCUCAAGAAGUUUGUAAUGCACUUAUUGAUCUAAGCCUUUUUUUUGGGCAACUUUGUUCUAAGACUUUAAAGAUUGAUGUUUUGGAGAAUCUUGAAGCUCAAAUUGCUUUAAUACUAUGUAAGUUGGAAAUGAUUUUUCCUCCUUCAAUUUUUGAUAUUAUGGUAUACUUGACUGUUCAUUCGAUGACUGAAGCUAAAGAAGAUGGACCAUGCCAAUUUCGUUGGAUGUAUUCAGUUGAAAGAGAGUUACGGAAGUUGAAAGGUUAUGUGCAAAAUAAAGCACAUCCAAAAGGCUCAAUUGCUGAAGCCUAUUUGUCAAAAGAAAGUAUGCAUCUCUGCUCAAGAUACUUAAAUGAUUUUGAUACAUUAUCAAGAGAAAGAAAUUUUGAUGGAGUUGAAGGGGAUCUUGUGAACGGCUGUCUAUUUUUAAAGUGGAUGGCAGAUUUAUAUCAGCAGGAGACUAUAAGUUGCUUGACUUUGAGGAGCAUAAGCAAGUUCAUUUUUAUGUAUUAAAGAAUUAUGAAGAGGUCAAUGCAUGGGUUGAAGAACACUUUGAAGAGCUCUCAAGAAAAAGUUCUUACAAUGUGGAAAGAAGACAUGAGGAGCAAUUUAUAAAAUGGUUUGAAAAUCGAGUUAUAUAGUUGUACAAAGAAGGAGAUAAUCAUGUGAAUAAGCAACUACUAUCAUUGGCUAAAGGUCCUGAUCUUCGUGCAACCUACUACAAAGGUUACAUCACUAAUGGGUUCAGGUUCCAUACUCAAACUCAUGAAGCUUAUUUAAAAACACAGAAUAGUGGAGUGAUUGUGAAAGGUGAUGAGCACAUAGGGAAUGUGGAUUACUAUGGCAAAAUAGUUGAAAUGAUCGAAUUAGAUUACUUGGGUAAGAAUAGAGUCGUUCUUUUUAAAUAUGAUUGGUAUGAGGUUCCACGACAAGGUAGACAUCAAACAAGGGGAUAUAAGAAAGACAAGCAUGGGUUUAUUACUUUGGAUACUAUGAGAACUCAGUAUACAGAUGAACCCUUUGUUUUAGCAAGUCAAGCAGAACAAGUAUAUUAUGUCAAAGAUGUUAACAAUUCUAAUUGGCAAACAGUAGUGAAGGUGCAACCCCGAAAUGUUUAUGAUAUACCAGAAGUUUAUAAAGCUGAGGAAGUAGAAAAUUCUAUAGAUUUAGGUGAAGCAUAUCAGCAAAAUGAAUUAGGAUGUGUGGGCAAUUUUUCACAUGAUUGCUUCUCUACUGAUGCUGACUUUGUUUUACAUAGAGAUGAUAUUAAGAGAAAGUGUUGAUGUGACUAGUGUCACUGAUACUACUGCAAAUAGUGAUGAUGAAGAUGAGGAAGAAACUGACAGCAACAUUGAUUCUUCAAGUGACAGUGGUGGUUUUAUGGAAUUAAUUGAUGAUGACUAUUUGUGACAUUUAAUGGCACUUAAGAACUUGAACUAUUUAAUAGCAGCUGUGGAGGUCUGCGGGAAGAUCCUCUACACUUCACUCUGCCACAUUGAUGUCUACUUCAGGAAGCUAAGGUUUUGAUAUGUUGCUAAAAGGCUAGAAUUCAAAGGCUAAGUCUAGCAAGUUUAUAGCACCGGCACACUAAGUAGGGAUCGUGAUCAUAGAUCGAUACUAACUCAAGCAUCGGCAGAGCUUAGGGCUCCUUCACAUGUGACUAAUAUGAUAAGUGACAAUUCUCACAUUCUUUUUGUUCACUAUGGUGAAAAAGUGUGUCAAGAAUCGAAUUUUGGUGAUGAUUCUAUCUAUCUUGAUGUUUUGGCUGUAUGUAAGAAGCUUUGCGACAUUUAUUCUGUUGGUUUUAAACUUUACUAUGGGAAUCGAAAGAUAUUGAGUGAUGAUAACUCUGUAAUGCAAAUGCUACAUGAGUUUCAAGGCAUGAGAGAUAUCUAUGUUUAUAUGAAAAAUGAUGAGAAGGCAAGACCUUGUCCUUAUAUUUUGCCAAAUUCGAACGGAGUAAUUUUUUCAGUUACAAAUAUUCAAAAUCAUGGUGAUUUAAAGGAAGCAACAUCUACUUCAAAUGCUCAAGUAGAAGCAACUGCAUCAAAUGCACAAGUGGCACCAUCUGGUAAAUAAAUAGCAUAAAAAUAUUUACUUGAAAUGUUUGAAUUGUAGAGUUCAUGCUUUAAAGGAAAGAGCCUAUAGCAUCUUAUUAUCAAUUAUAAUAGUAAAUAGAUAUUAUGCAUUUGUUGGCUGAGAAAUAUAGUAAAUAGAAAAUAAACCAAAUGGAUAUUAGAUAGAUAGUAGAAGCUUUGAUUGAAGCACUUUGAUAAAACCUUAGCUUGGAAUGACAAAGAGAUACCUUUCUCUGUUGACUAUUAGCUAUAAGUUUGGUUUCGCAGCAUUUAGAUAUAUAUGGAGUAACUGAACAAUGCACAGAUGACUGGUUAAUUUUGCUUUUCCUCUGCUACAAGCACUAAUAAAAAUACAAGAGGCCCGUCUCGAGGUAUUGCUACAGUUAAGGCAAUAAAACAAAGUGAGACAGAAAAAUUGCCGGUAUCAAUUCCUUUGUCUGAGUUGGCUGCUGUUGGUGUCAAUGCCGAAAUAUUUGCCUUUGAAAUAGGGGUAGUCACCAGAUUGAAUACUAAUUUUGAAGCAAAAAAAUGGAAGGAUGUGGAUGCUGGAACCAAAGACAAGAUAUGUGAGCUCACAAUGGAUAAAUUUGACAUACCUAAGACUGAUCUCCUACGGGAUGUUAUCAAAUCAAUAGCCAAUAAUAGCUAUCGUGUUCGCCGCGCAUGCUUACAUAAUCACUACAAACGUUAUAAGACUGAUGAGGAGCAUUUGCAAAACCCACCAAAAAUUAUCUCUCCUGCUAAUUGGGAGCAUCUUGUGAAUUACUUCAAGACACCCGACUUUCAGGAAGAUGUGUUAUAUUUGUUGGAACAAUCUACAAAUGAAGAAAAUUCUUUAAACUUGAUUACUGAUGAAGCCUUUGAGCAAGUGGUUGGUGAAAAAUGUUGCCAAAGCUAUGGUUCCAAACCUGCCAAACAUAAAAUGAGGUUACAAGCUCAAUUAGAACAAGCUAAUCAACAGCUUGAUGAAGGGGCCAAGGAAGUUAAGGAGCUAGAGGGGUGACUUGAAGAGCAACGUAUUCAACAAGAAGAAGAGAUAAGACGUAUGAGAGAUCUGAUAUGGAGGCUCAAAGUAUAGAGAUGCAAGCUAAGUUGCAAGCUGACGUGAAAGCUAUGCUGCAAGUCUUCUUAACUAAAAUCUCAAACGGUCAAACUAUAAAUCUUGACUUAGACCCAACAAAUUUGUGAAGAACUUCUGCACUUUCCCAAAAGAACAAGGCAAAUGAUUCACAUUGAUCUAAUGCUUGAGAAAGACAGUUUUUUGCUGGAAGUUUGUCUUCCGAUCUGCCACUUGUUCUUUCUUAGUUGUUUUGUAAAGAAAACUAAGACAAAUGAUUACAGGGACUAUUGGUGAAAGAGGACAUAGUUUUUGUUGGAAGUUAUCUUAUUUUGUAAUUAGUCAUUGGAACAGGAAUAUUUUGGCUUUGUUUGUAAAGAAAAGCAUAAGCAAUAAGCUCUAUUACUUAUUUUGGAUUUUUGCUAAUAGAAAUAUAUGUAAAUGCAAAAUAUUUAUUAAAGAAUGUAUUCUAUUCAUUAUGUCUACA